UACGUAGGGGGCAAGCGUUGUCCGGAAUUAUUGGGCGUAAAGAGCGUGUAGGCGGUCCGGUAAGUCAGCUGUGAAAGUCGGGGGCUCAACCCUCGAAUGCCGGUGGAUACUGUCGGGCUAGAGUGCGGAAGAGGCGAGUGGAAUUCCUGGUGUAGCGGUGAAAUGCGCAGAUAUCAGGAGGAACACCGAUUGCGAAGGCGGAUCUCUGGGCCGUAACUGACGCUGAGGAGCGAAAGCAUGGGGAGCGAACAGG
rnacentral:rRNA from 1 species